GAAAUGCGAUAAGUAAUGUGAAUUGCAGAAUUCAGUGAAUCAUCGAAUCUUUGAACGCACAUUGCGCCUAUUAGUAUUCUAGUAGGCAUGCCUGUUCGAGCGUCAUUGCUGCCCUUCAAGCCCGGCUUGUGUGUUGGGUCGUCGUCCCCUCCGGGGGACGGGCCCGAAAGGCAGCGGCGGCACCGCGUCCGGUCCUCGAGCGUAUGGGGCUUUGUCACCCGCUCGAUAAGGACCGGCCGGGCGCCAGCCGGCGUCUCCAACCUUUUUUUCUCAGGUUGACCUCGGAUCAGGUAGGGAUACCCGCUGAACUUAAGC
rnacentral:misc_RNA from 1 species